CUCUCAGGCCUCAUAUAAUGACUUACAUCUGGCCGCUUAUUGUUGACCCCUCAGAACACUUUUUAGUUUGUUUGAGGGAGAAGUUUCAGUGACAGCGGCAUGAUUGAAGGCGUAAAAAGGUUGUCUGAACUGUCAUUGAUAUUAUUAUGUUCUAGGUAUGUCAUUGAUAUAAUUAUGUACUAGGUAUGUCAGUUUACCUGUCUUUUUGGACUUUUCAGAACUGCAAAGAGCUCCUUUUGUGCUGACAGCAGAAAAACAUGUUUAAUAAAUUGACUGUGUGGAA